UAUUCUACGGCGGACGGGUGAGUAAUGCUUAGGAAUCUGCCUAUUAGUGGGGGACAACAUUCCGAAAGGAAUGCUAAUACCGCAUACGUCCUACGGGAGAAAGCAGGGGAUCUUCGGACCUUGCGCUAAUAGAUGAGCCUAACGUCGGAUUAGCUAGUUGGUGGGGUAAAGGCCUACCAAGGCGACGAUCUGUAGCGGGUCUGAGAGGAUGAUCCGCCACCCUGGGACUGAGACACGGCCCAGACUCCUACGGGAGGCAAGGGAGAUGGUGGAGAGUAAGUAAGUGAUCAAAUAGUGGCUGGAAGCCUAGAAUCCAGACCAAUGCCCCGGGUGUGUUGAAGGAAAGUGGCACAUUUGCUGGGUUAGGUCAAGGCCACCAUUUAAAGCGCAAGAUGAAC
rnacentral:rRNA from 1 species